rnacentral:tRNA from 1 species
AGGAGGCUCAGUGGUAAAGCACAUGCUUAGCACGCAUGAGGUCUGGGUUCAACCCCCAGUACCUG